rnacentral:rRNA from 1 species
AGGCAGCAGUGAGGAAUAUUGGACAAUGGGCGCAAGCCUGAUCCAGCCAUGCCGCGUGCAGGAUGACGGUCCUAUGGAUUGUAAACUGCUUUUAUACGAGAAGAAACACCUCUACGUGUAGAGACUUGACGGUAUCGUAAGAAUAAGGAUCGGCUAACUCCGUGCCAGCAGCCGCGGUAAU